rnacentral:rRNA from 1 species
UACGUAGGGUGCGAGCGUUGUCCGGAAUUAUUGGGCGUAAAGAGCUCGUAGGCGGUGUGUCACGGUCGGCCGUGAAAACCUGCAGCUUAACUGUGGGCGUGCGGUCGAUACGGGCAUCACUGGAGUUCGGCAGGGGAGACUGGAAUUCCUGGUGUAGCGGUGAAAUGCGCAGAUAUCAGGAGGAACACCGGUGGCGAAGGCGGGUCUCUGGGCCGAUACUGACGCUGAGGAGCGAAAGCGUGGGGAGCGAACAGG